UUAGAUUAUAUGAUGGACAACUGACUGGCUGUGCUCUUUCCACUAAAAUAAGUAAGAAAAUGUACAAUUUGAGCCAUUGAACAAGGAUGCUGGAACUUACCAUAAAUACUUACGAUAAAUAUCUAGAUAUGAAAUGAAUUUAUAUCAAUUAACAGGAAGGUUCAUCACCCAGAAAUGGUAAACAGGUAGGAAACUGCCUGCCUGUAUUCUCUUGUUUCAGCAGCUAGAAGCCAGUGGUGCUGCUCCAAGAUCCCAGUGCUGUACUGUAGCCAGGGAGGACUUCUGCUCAGUAGGCUCCGCUGGGAGCUUCCCUGUCAACACCUGUCUCUCUUCCCAGCAUUCCCAGCAGCACCAUGAGGGAAUUCGUGACAACUGCUGCUUCUCAUCUAGGGCAGAGAGAAGUCAGAUUCUCUAGCUACACACACUGCCUAGGAGUUACCAACGUCUUCAUAACGCGCAGGAUCUACGUAGACGUGAAGGCAUUUUCAACAACAAGUCAAUCUAAGACAUUUGAGCAACUGUCUUUCUCAUGAAGCAACACAGCUGCUGGCAAGAAGACACUGCUCAGGCAGUGCAGGCCCAGGGUAAGAUCUGCCUCCAGAGUCUCUACAACCCACUGCUGGCCACAGUCGAGCUGUGUAGCUCUGCCCUGCACGG